AUUGAACGCUGGCGGCAUGCUUUACACAUGCAAGUCGAACGGCAGCGCGGGCUUCGGCCUGGCGGCGAGUGGCGAACGGGUGAGUAAUACAUCGGAAUGUGCCCAGUAGUGGGGGAUAGCUCGGCGAAAGCCGGAUUGAUACCGCAUACGACCUGAGGGUGAAAGCGGGGGAUCUUCGGACCUCGCGCUCUUGGAGGGGCCGAUGGCGGAUUAGCUAGUUGGUGGGGUAAAGGCCUACCAAGGCGACGAUCUGUAGCUGGUCUGAGAGGACGACCAGCCACACUGGAACUGAGACACGGCCCAGACUCCUACGGGAGGCAGCAGUGGGGAAUUUUGGACAAUGGGCGAAAGCCUGAUCCAGCAAUGCCGCGUGUGUGAUGAAGGCCUUCGGGUUGUAAAGCACUUUUGGCGGGAACGAAAAGGACUGUGCCAAUACCACGGUUCGAUGACGGUACCCGCAGAAUAAGCACCGGCUAACUACGUG
rnacentral:rRNA from 1 species